CUGCUGCUAAGAAAAGACCGAUGGAAUGGAGAUGGGAUGGGCGGGACCCGGAGCACAGCUGAGCUUUGAGAUCCCCGUGAGACGUGUGACCUCCCCACACCUGCAGGGGUGUCCCAUGGACCCAGAUCCCUGUGGCAGAGUCGUCUGGGGCCAGAGAGCCAUUACUAUGAGCUCACGAAGGUGGUGCAGGAGAGUGAGGGCCUCUCUGAGGCUUGUUGUUGCUGAAAAUUGAAGCCCACUGGGAGAGUGAAGACAGAGUGGAGUACAGCAUUUGGUUACUACAGUGAGUCUCCAGUUUAGGAAUGAGUUCCAUUCUGGGAGUUGGAUUCAUUGUUACCUUAAAAUGGUGGCACAGUUCAGUACUGGCAUCUAGGGGACCGCAUGGAGUGGACAGGGUCAAGUAACAAUUCAUCUUUUGAAAAUGGAAGUAUUCAGGAUAAGUAAAUGCCUUUCCUCCUGGCAAUGCAGAUCUUGUUUAUUUGAGCAAAUCAAUGAAAAAAUUAUUUCAC